rnacentral:tRNA from 1 species
AGUUAAUUAGUUUAAAUUAAAACUUGUAUUUUGAAAAUACAGUAUAGAUAAAUAUUUAUUAACUU